rnacentral:rRNA from 1 species
UGUUUGAUCCUGGCUCAGGACGAACGACUGGCGGCGUGCUUAACACAUGCAAGUCGGACGGUCGGUACUGGAAGGUUCGCUGGAAGGUGCCGAUAGUGGCGGACGGGUGAGUAACGCGUGAGGACAUGGCAGCAGGAGGGGGAUAACGUUUGGAAACGGACGCUAAGACCCCAUAAGCCGGGAGGUGAAAGUGGCGUAAGCCAGCCUGUUGAGUGACUCGCGUCCUAUCAGCUAGUUGGCGGGGUGAAGGCCCACCAAGUCGUAAGCAAGGUAGCCGACCUGAGAGGAUGGCCAGCCACACUGGAACUGAGAUCACGGUCCAGACUCCUACGGGAGGCAGCAGUGAGGAUAUCUUGCGCAAUCGGGGGAAACCGCUGACGCAGCAACGCCGCGUGAGUGAGGAAGGCCUUCGGGUCGUAAA